AUGCCAUUCAGAAGCUCCCUUUCGGUGGAUGGUUCACUCGAGUGGCUGCAUGAUGUCUCCUCUCCUCCUCCCCUGUUGAGGAGUCUGAAGUUGUAUGGAUGCCUUGGAGAGAUUCCUGCCUCCGUUGGCAAUCUGAUGCAUUUGGUAAAGCUUUAUUUAUGGCGCAGCGAAAUAAAGGAAGAAGGUAAAAUCAUGGAAAUACUAGGGCCACUUCCCAACCUCAUGCAGCUUCGUCUUAGAUACAACUCUUAUAUUGGGGAGAAGUUGGUGUUCAAAAUUGGAGCAUUCCCAAAUCUCAAGAAGCUUGAUAUUUAUGAUCUGGCGGGACUGAGAGAGUUGAAAUUUGAGGACGGCGCCUCACCCCAGCUGGCAAUGAUAGAUAUCACUGCGUGCAAUUUGGCAUCAGGAAUUACUGGAGUCAACCAACUUCCAAACCUCAAGCAGAUCUCACUUGGUCAAGUGGCGAAGCUUGCUAUGCUGCAAAGUGAAGUCGGCGCACACCCCAACAGUCCCGUGCUACGACUAUCCAAGGAACUGGGAGGCACCGUCGCCCAAGUGGGAGAAUCAACAGGGGAAUCCUCAUCUCUCCAUCCCGAGCCUGAAGAUGCAGGAGAGAGCUCACGGUCCCAAGCGGUGGGCAUGGCGACGGCAAACAUCAGCCAAGAUGAUGUGCUUUACACUUACAACUCGUGCUGA
rnacentral:rRNA from 1 species